AGCUCCAAUAGCGUAUAUUAAAGUUGUUGCAGUUAAAAAGCUCGUAGUUGGAUUUCUGGGAGGGUGCCGCCGUCCGGCGUGUCCGUGUGCAGUGGCGCCCUUCCAUCCUUCUGUUAGCGUCUCUUGGCAUUCAUUUGCUGGUGGCGGGCUCAGAUAUUUUACCUUGAGAAAAUUAGAGUGUUUCAGGCAGGCUAGGCCGGAAUACAUUAGCAUGGAAUAAUGGAAUAGGACUACGGUCUCUUUGUUGGUUUGAGGGACUGCAGUAAUGAUUAAUAGGGAUAGUUGGGGGCAUUAGUAUUUAAUUGUCAGAGGUGGAAUUCUCAGAUUUGUUAAAGACUAACUUAUGCGAAAGCAUUUGCCAAGGAUGUUU
rnacentral:rRNA from 1 species